AGUCGCUAAAUGUCAAUUUUGAGUUGAAUAAUAACAAAGGGAUUAAAUCCUGUCCGUAAAUCCCUCAAUAUCCGGUCGUUUAUACUACCCCCUAAAAAAAUUAACGCGCCAACCUUUUAUUUUUCCCUCAUUUCUCCUCCCCACCUCCUUUUAAACCAUUCCCCUCCCCCCAAAACCCUCACUUUGAGCGUUAAAUCAAACCUACCCACUCCCACCCGUCUCUUUCUCUAUCUGCGUGAACUGGAAGAGAACGUGCUCUAGGAGAAGUAGAUAGUAAUUAUGGUGCGCCACUAGCCAAUGGUUUCCAUGUUGGUUGAAGGUGAGCCUGCAGUUGAAAAAAAAAAUCUCUUGGCUGCAUAUGUAUUAUUGAUCUUUGAGGAAGCUUGUCUUACAAAAAUAUGAAGGAUCUAGCAGCAUGCUCAGAAAAGAAUGUCUGAAAAAAGAAAGCAAGCUUGGAGGCUGAGGUAAAGAGGACUGAGGUGAGAAGUCAUUCUUCUAUAUUUGUGAACUGAUACUGCUUCGCUCAUCAAACAAUACUGGUUUUGUGCAGCACAACAGAAACUGAUUUUUAAUAGAUUAAGGUGCGUGUACACACACACGCACACAGGGCCGUUUCAACAACUUUAGGGGCCUAAAGCCAAACUUCAAACAGAGGAUCUAAUUCUUUUUAAAGGAGAGAUCGUCAUAUAAGUUUAAGAAUAUGUUCCUGGCGUACGAGAAGCACUCUGCUGACAUGCAAUCUUGACGGUGAUAUGAGAUUCAGAAUUUGAAGUCUGAAGAGCCUGGACUUGAAGAAAAUAAUGAGCAAGUUGAAGCAACUGAAAUCUUAAAGCACAAGUUGAAGCAUAAGCGGAACCUAUUCUCUAUUUGUUAAGAGUAAUUUUUAAGAUGUUUUUUUUGUACAUGCUUUAACUUUGUUUUCUCUUUUGUUAGGAGACAAAUGUAAUGUCAUACAAUGUAGAUGAGUAUAUUUGUUUUUCAAUAUGAUACUAUAGUUCUUUGUAAUUAACUAUGAAAUCUUAAUGGAAUGAUGAUUGUUUGUAUGU